rnacentral:rRNA from 1 species
AUGGCCGGCCGCCGCGCGCCGCACGUCAUGAGCCUCCACGACUCCGGCCCGCCGCUGCUCGGCCGCGCGCCGCAGCACCCGCAGCCCGGCGACGACCGCGACGAGCCCCCGCACGGCGCCCUCCUCCACCACCCGCGCGGGGGCCCCGCGCAGCACCCCGCCGUGGCGGCCCUCGAGGACCGCAUCGUCGCCCGGGACCGGGACAUCCAGGAGUUCCUCGUCGACAACCAGCGGUUCGCCGCCACCCACGUCGCGCUCCAGCAGCAGCUCAUCUCCGCGCAGCACGAGCUCCGCGCCGUCUCCAUCGCCGGCACCAGGGCCCGCAUGGAGCGCGAGGCCGACGUCUGCAACAUCGCCGACCAGGCCGCGCGCAUCGAGGCCGAGGCGCGCUCCGUCGCCGGCGCGCGCGUGGAGAUCGAGCAGGUCCACGCCGAUGUGCGGGUGCUCGCUGCCGCUCGCAACGAACUCAUGGACCGGCUCAAAGGCCUCCGCGAGCAGCUAGGGUGCGCGCAGUCCAAUUCCGCCAAGUCGGAGAACGUCCGCUCGCAGAUUGAGACCAUGCGACGGGAGAUCCAGAAGGGCAGGGCUGCGGUUGAAUUCGAAAAGAAGGCACAUGCUGAUAACCUUUUACAAAGUAAAGCAAUGGAGAAAAAUAUGAUUGCUGUGGCUAGUGAGAUUGAGAGGCUUCGGGGUGAGCUUUUAAAUGCUGAAAAGCGGGCCACUGCUGUCACCACAGCAGCAGCUGUAACUAACCCUGGGUAUGCUCAACCGUAUAGCAGUUCUGAGGCGACAUAUGCCACAAUGUAUGGCAAUCCCGAGGCAGCAUAUGCAGCAUAUGGCAGUGCUGAGGCAACAUAUGCUGGAACAUAUGCCAAUUCUGAUGCUUAUAGCACCACUAAUCAGGCUCAGACUCGCACCGAUGGCAAUCAACAUUACAUGGCCCAGCCGGUUCACUAUGCGCAGUACGAGGGCCAGCAGCAGCAGCAGCAGCAGCACACCGAUGCGCAAAGAUGA